rnacentral:rRNA from 1 species
UACAGAGGGUGCUAGCGUUGUUCGGAAUCAUUGGGCGUAAAGGGCGUGUAGGCGGUUUGUUAAGUCAUGUGUGAAAUCCCUCGGCUCAACCGGGGAACGACGCAUGAAACUGGCAAGCUAGAGUACCAAAGAGGGGGGUUGAAUUCCCGGUGUAGCGGUGAAAUGCGUAGAUAUCAGGAGGAAUACCGGUGGCGAAAGCGGCUUCCUGGCCUGUUCUUGACGCUGAGGCGCGAAAGCUAGGGGAGCAAACGGG